CCACCUUCUCAGCACUUCCUCAUCAAGUUCCUAGUUCCCUGAAGAGAUCUAAUUCUCUGGAAAAGGUCACUUAACUGAAUGCCAAAUCCCCAAAUGGUUAAUUUUUGACAGCUCUCACUUUUGCAGGAGAAAAUUAUGCAAAUAACAUAAAAAGAACAGAUGAAAAAAGUCAUUUGCAUGUCUUGAGGGUGAGAAAAUUCUCAUUGCCAGAGAGAAAGCUGACGACUGUCCUCUCACAAUGAUCCUGAGUGAUAUGUUCAGCACUUCUGUUUUUUUCCAAGUUUCUUAAAAGUCACAUGAAUCCCAUCGUUUCAUAUGGUUCUUUGAAAUUCUCAGACACAUCCAUAACUUUACAGAGAAGCAUUGUGACCACUCUUUUAAGAUGUUUAAUAAACGUUCCAUCUAAAAAUAAAUGAUGAUAACACAAACUAACGCAACAUUUAAACUUUGCCAAGAACUUAUUCUCUCAUUUGAUUCUUAUGGGAAUCCUGUGAAAUAGGUUACUCUCAGUAUUUUUCUCAUAUUUUAGUGAUGAGAUAUAAAAAGAGUAAGUGAUUA